rnacentral:misc_RNA from 1 species
GUGAAUCAUCGAAUUUUUGAACGCAAAUUGCACUCUCUUCGGAGAGUAUGCCUGUUUGAGGGUCAGCCUAAAAAAAAAUCGACAUAUUCGCUGUUUCCCGGUAACUUUCGUCGGAAAUUGGGUCAUCUUAAACCUUUUGGUUUUAGGCGGCUUAAAUUUUUCUUUACGAUUCCACGAACGUUUCUAAGUUUUACUUACACGUUAAAGUUAUCGAUCUUUAUUAGCCUUGCCCUUU